AGCGGCGGACGGGUGAGUAACACUUUAGGCAACCUGCCCCUUAGCCUGGGAUAACUACCGGAAACGGUAGCUAAUACCGGAUAAUCCCUUUCCUCGCCUGAGGGAAGGAUAAAAGGCGGAGCAAUCUGCUGAUAAGGGAUGGGCCUGCGGCGCAUUAGCUAGUUGGUGAGGUAACGGCUCACCAAGGCGACGAUGCGUAGCCGACCUGAGAGGGUGAACGGCCACACUGGGACUGAGACACGGCCCAGACUCCUACGGGAGGCAGCAGUAGGGAAUCUUCCGCAAUGGGCGAAAGCCUGACGGAGCAACGCCGCGUGAGUGAUGAAGGUUUUCGGAUCGUAAAGCUCUGUUGCCAGGGAAGAACGUCCGGUAGAGUAACUGCUACCGGAGUGACGGUACCUGAGAAGAAAGCCCCGGCUAACUACGUGCCAGCAGCCGCGGUAAUACGUAGGGGGCAAGCGUUGUCCGGAAUUAUUUGGGCGUAAAGCGCGCGCAGGCGGCUAUUUAAGUCUGGUGUUUAAACCUUGGGCUCAACCUGAGGUCGCACUGGAAACUGGGUGGCUUGAAGUACAGAAGAGGAAAGUGGGAAUUCCACGUGUUACCGGUGAAAUUGCGUAGAGAUGUGGAGGAACACCAGUGG
rnacentral:rRNA from 1 species